GGAGAAUUGAGGGGGGCUGCUCCUAGUACGAGAGGACCGGAGUGGACGCAUCACUGGUGUUCGGGUUGUCAUGCCAAUGGCACUGCCCGGUAGCUAAAUGCGGAAGAGAUAAGUGCUGAAAGCAUCUAAGCACGAAACUUGCCCCGAGAUGAGUUCUCCCUGAGACUUUAAGUCUCCUGAAGGAACGUUGAAGACGACGACGUUGAUAGGUCGGGUGUGUAAGCGCAGCGAUGCGUUGAGCUAACCGAUACUAAUGAACCGUGAGGCUUAACCUU
rnacentral:rRNA from 1 species